ensembl:lncRNA
GAUCUUUGUUCUAAACACAUCUUGUAGAAUGAGAGAGAUCUUUGUUCUACACACAUCCUGUGGAAUGAAGGAAAGGAACAAGGAAAAGAAGCAGGAGGAGGUGAUGGACUGGUGGUCUGCGCUUGGACCAGAGAGAGGAGCAAGUGUUAUAACUACCUACCUACACAGGAAAUGGCUUCCUGAAAUCCCUCAAGCAGCUGAUUGGUCGACUCCAGGGCUAAUUGGAGAGCUGAUCCCGCCCCCUCGUCAAGACACAGCUGUCUCCAAUUACCCAUUCCUUCAGAAGCUAUAUAAAAGCCAGUGUUCUGUUCAGGAGGGAGAUCUUUUUGGAGGUAGAGAUUUUGCUGGAGGUAGGGAUUGCUGAGAUUGAUUGUGAUAGAGGUUGAUUUUGC